rnacentral:rRNA from 1 species
UCAGUAACACGUAGUCAACAUGCCCAGGGGACGUGGAUAACCUCGGGAAACUGAGGAUAAACCGCGAUAAGUCACUACUUCUGGAAUGGGUAAUGACUCAAAUCUAUAUGGCCCCUGGAUUGGACUGCGGCCGAUCAGGCUGUUGGUGAGGUAAUGGCCCACCAAACCUGUAACCGGUACGGGCUCUGAGAGGAGGAGCCCGGAGAUGGGCACUGAGACAAGGGCCCAGGCCCUAUGGGGCGCAGCAGGCGCGAAACCUCUGCAAUAGGCGAAAGCCUGACAGGGUUACUCUGAGUGAUGCCCGUUAAGGGUAUCUUUUGGCACCUCUAAAAAUGGUGCAGAAUAAGGGGUGGGCAAGUCUGGUGCCAGC